AAAAAAAAGGGGGGGGGGGACGAAUCUGUAGAGCACAUGGACAGCAAAGAUGGCCCUGGAAGGGGUUGAGUGGGCAGAGCCCAAUGGAUCUUCUGAUCAGUGCCUAACAAGCUGGUGAAAGCUCAGAGGCUCAG